rnacentral:rRNA from 1 species
UACGGAGGGUGCAAGCGUUGUCCGGAAUCACUGGGUGUAAAGGGUGUGUAGGCGGAUCUGUAAGUCAGCGGUGAAAGCCCCCGGCUCAACCGGGGAAUUGCCGUUGAUACUGCAGAUCUUGAGUCCUGGAGAGGUCGCUGGAAUUUGUGGUGUAGCGGUGAAAUGCGUAGAUAUCACAAGGAACACCAGAGGAGAAGUCGGGCGACUGGACAGGUACUGACGCUGAGGCACGAAAGCGUGGGGAGCGAACAGGAUUAGAUA